rnacentral:rRNA from 1 species
AUUGAACGCUGGCGGCAGGCUUAACACAUGCAAGUCGAACGGUGAAGCAGGAGCUUGCUCCUGUGGAUCAGUGGCGAACGGGUGAGUAACACGUGAGCAAUCUGCCCUGGACUCUGGGAUAAGCGUUGGAAACGACGUCUAAUACCGGAUACGAGGCGUGGGGGCAUCCCCAACGCCUGGAAAGAACUUCGGUCCAGGAUGAGCUCGCGGCCUAUCAGGUAGUUGGUGGGGUAACGGCUCACCAAGCCUACGACGGGUAGCCGGCCUGAGAGGGUGACCGGCCACACUGGGACUGAGGCACGGCCCAGACUCCUACGGGAGGCAGCAGUGGGGAAUAUUGCACAAUGGGCGCAAGCCUGAUGCAGCAACGCCGCGUGAGGGACGACGGCCUUCGGGUUGUAAACCUCUUUUAGCAGGGAAGAAGCGAAAGUGACGGUACCUGCAGAAAAAGCACCGGCUAACUACGUGCCAGCCGCCGCCGUAAAAC